rnacentral:rRNA from 1 species
UCGUCACACUAUCAUUAACUGAAUCCAUAGGUUAAUGAGGCGAACCGGGGGAACUGAAACAUCUAAGUACCCCGAGGAAAAGAAAUCAACCGAGAUUCCCCCAGUAGCGGCGAGCGAACGGGGAGGAGCCCAGAGCCUGAAUCAGCAUGUGUGUUAGUGGAAGCGUCUGGAAAGGCGCGCGAUACAGGGUGACAGCCCCGUACACAAAAGCGCAUGUGCUGUGAGCUCGAUGAGUAGGGCGGGACACGUGGUAUCCUGUCUGAAUAUGGGGGGACCAUCCUCCAAGGCUAAAUACUCCUGACUGACCGAUAGUGAACCAGUACCGUGAGGGAAAGGCGAAAAGAACCCCGGCGAGGGGAGUGAAAAAGAACCUGAAACCGUGUACGUACAAGCAGUGGGAGCCCCACCACUAAGCCAGUGGUGAACUCCACAUACGCAUCCUUUGCUGAGGAUACGGUUAACGGAGCGAAAGCGACGUUCAACCGCAAAAGAAGCAGAGGGGGCUUAGUGGUGGGGUGACUGCGUACCUUUUGUAUAAUGGGUCAGCGAC